GUUUGUGUAACGUGUAAUGUGGCCGUUUUUCUGUUUUUGCUGUUUGGGGUUGUACGGAGGAUAUCCAACCAAAAGUUAUUUUCACAAGAUGCAAAUGUUAACACCUCAAUUUUGUAGCGGUACUUUUUUAACAAUUGACCAUUAGCUCCGAUGAUGACAUUUAUGUCGAAAGCGCUCAGCUAAAGAAAUAAAUUAUUUACACACUUUGA
rnacentral:lncRNA from 1 species